rnacentral:sRNA from 2 species
ACCUACCACUGCCAAUCUAUCUAUCACUGCUAAUCUAUCGCUGCUAAUCUAUCACUGCUAAUCUAUCACUGCCAACCUACCUACCGCUGCCAACCUAUCUACCGCUGCCAAUCUAUCUAUCGCUGCUAAUCUAUCGCUGCUAAUCUAUCACUGCCAAUCUAUCGCUGCUAAUCUAUCGCUGCUAAUCUACCGCUGCCAACCUACCUACCGCUGCCAACCUACCUACCGCUGCCAACCUACCUACCGCUGCCAACCUAUCUAUCGCUGCUAAUCUAUCGCUGCUAAUCUAUCGCUGCUAAUCUACCGCUGCCAACCUACCUACCGCUGCCAACCUACCUACCGCUGCCAACCUACCUACCGCUGCCAACCUAUCUAUCGCUGCUAAUCUAUCGCUGCUAAUCUAUCACUGCUAAUCUAUUGCUGCUAAUUUAUUGCUGCCAACCUACCUACCACUGCUAAUCUAUCACUGCUGCCAAUCUAUAUAGAGUAAAUCAUGAUUCUAUUUGGUCCCAUUUUGUAAAAUGAGAUCAAAUGAAAUCAGAAUCACUAAUUUAUUAGUAAAAUAUAAUCUGAGACUAGAUUUUUAAUAUAAACAGUGUAAAGUAACUAAUUUACUAAAUACUAUAUGAGAUCAGAACUAAGAUAUUUAAUAAUGAGACUAAGAAAAAAUUUGAUCUCAGUCUCAUGCAUGAUCACACAGCCAGUCUAAUUAUCACAAUAAAAGCAAAAAGAAUUCAUCAAACAGUUAGAAUUAGUUGAUAUAACUGAUCUUAUCAGUGAAACAUUAAAUAAAAUAUAAAAGUUCAACAAUCUUGAACAGAAGGAAUUCAACAUUCUCAUACAUCUUCUUUAUCUAUUUCUUUUCAAUUUGCUAAUUAUUAUAUUCUCUAUAUUAUUUUCUAUUUUGAUAAUUUGUUCAGUUUCAUUACUGAUAGUAUUCAGCUGAAGAGAGUAUAUCAAAAACUUGAUAAGUUCUACUAUCAAAGAUUUAAGAAGAUUCAAGCAAUAGAAUGAAGCAUUAGAAUAUUUCACUAUAUAAAACUUAGUAAUACUCACUC